UUAAAGUAGUAAGGGCGCAGGGUGGAUGCCUUGGCACUAAGAGCCGAUGAAAGACGUGAUAAGCUGCGAAAAGCUUCGGGGAGGAGCACAUAUCCAAUGAUCCGGAGAUAUCUGAAUGGGGAAACCCGGCAGAGGAAACCUCUGUCAGCGUGCAGUGAAUACAUAGCUGUACGUGGGGAACCCGGGGAACUGAAACAUCUAAGUACCCGGAGGAAGAGAAAGAAAAUUUAUCGAUUUCCAAAGUAGCGGCGAGCGAAAUGGAAAGAGCCCAAACCGUGAUGCGUGCAUCGCGGGGUUCGGACUGCGUUGUGGCAGACGUAAGAUAGGAGAACGGACUGGGAAGUCCGGCCGGAGAGAGUGAAAGCCUCGUAUCCGAAAUCCCAAGUCGCCUAGCAGGAUCCAGAGUAGGACGAGACACGAGAAACCUUGUCUGAACGAGCGGGGACCACCCCGUAAGGCUAAAUACUUCUUAGUGACCGAUAGCGCAUAGUACUGUGAAGGAAAGGUGAAAAGUACCCCGGGAGGGGAGUGAAAGAGAACCUGAAACCCUGUGUCUACAAGCUGUGGGACCUCUUUAUAUGAGGGACUGCGUACUUUUUGUAGAACGGUCCGGCGAGUUGUGCGUACUGGCGAGGUUAAGGACUUAAGGUCUGGAGCCGAAGUGAAAGCAAGCGUUAAUAGCGCGUCAAGUCAGUGAGUGCAGACCCGAAACCGGGUGACCUAUCCAUGUCCAGGUUGAAGCUUCCGUAAGAGGAAGUGGAGGACCGAACCCACAUCCGUUGAAAAGGGUGGGGAUGAGGUGUGGAUAGCGGAGAAAUUCCAAUCGAACCCGGAGAUAGCUGGUUCUCCUCGAAAUAGCUUUAGGGCUAGCCUCAUGAGAGUCUUAUGGAGGUAGAGCACUGAAUUGCCUAGGGGGCGUCAAAGCUUACCAAAGCAUAUCAAACUCCGAAUGCCAUCAAGAUGAUUCAUGGGAGUCAGACCAUACGAGAUAAGUUGGAUGGUCAAAAGGGAAAGAGCCCAGACCUACAGCUAAGGUCCCAAAGUACGUGUUAAGUGGAAAAGGAUGUGGGGAUUCUAAGACAACUAGGACGUUGGCUUAGAAGCAGCCAUUCAUUGAAAGAGUGCGUAAUAGCUCACUAGUCGAGAGUCCCUGCGCCGAAAAUGUCCGGGGCUGAAACACGACACCGAAGCUUAGGAAUGUGUAAACAUUGGUAGAGGAGCAUUGUUAGCGGGAUGAAGCCAUACCGUAAGGAGUGGUGGACUGCUAAGAAGAGAGAAUGCCGGAAUGAGUAGCGAGAUGAAGGUGAGAAUCCUUCAGGCCGAAUAUCUAAGGUUUCCAGAGUAAAGCUGAUCUGCUCUGGGUAAGUCGGGACCUAAGGCGAGGUCGAAAGACGUAGUCGAUGGAUAACAGGUUGAAAUUCCUGUACCGCAUAUAAACAGAACUGUGGGGACACAGACAGGGAAUGGAAUCCGGGAAUGGAUAUCCCGGUGCAAGCGAGGUAGGAGUGCUGUUGGCAAAUCCGCAGCACGAUCUGAAGACGUGACGCGUACCGAACAUAAGUAGGGAAGUCCAGGCCCCUGGCUGUCAAGAAAAGCCGCUAUUGUUUUAUAUGUGCCCGUACCGCAAACCGACACAGGUGGAUGAGGAGAGAAUCCUAAGGCCGACGGGAGAAGUAUUGUUAAGGAACUCGGCAAAAUGACUCCGUAACUUCGGGAGAAGGAGUGCCAUGAGAGUGGCCGCAGAGAAAUGGCCCAAGCAACUGUUUAGCAAAAACACAGGUCUAUGCAAAACCGCAAGGUGAAGUAUAUGGGCUGACGCCUGCCCGGUGCUGGAAGGUUAAGGGGAGAGGUUAGCGCAAGCGAAGCUUUGAACUUAAGCCCCAGUAAACGGCGGCCGUAACUAUAACGGUCCUAAGGUAGCGAAAUUCCUUGUCGGGUAAGUUCCGACCC
rnacentral:rRNA from 1 species